rnacentral:rRNA from 2 species
GCCCAGAUGGGAUUAGCUUGUUGGUGAGGUAACGGCUCACCAAGGCGACGAUCCCUAGCUGGUCUGAGAGGAUGACCAGCCACACUGGAACUGAGACACGGUCCAGACUCCUACGGGAGGCAGCAGUGGGGAAUAUUGCACAAUGGGCGCAAGCCUGAUGCAGCCAUGCCGCGUGUAUGAAGAAGGCCUUCGGGUUGUAAAGUACUUUCAGCGGGGAGGAAGGUGUUGUGGUUAAUAACCGCAGCAAUUGACGUUACCCGCAGAAGAAGCACCGGCUAACUCCGUGCCAGCAGCCGCGGUAAUACGGAGGGUGCAAGCGUUAAUCGGAAUUACUGGGCGUAAAGCGCACGCAGGCGGUCUGUCAAGUCGGAUGUGAAAUCCCCGGGCUCAACCUGGGAACUGCAUUCGAAACUGGCAGGCUUGAGUCUUGUAGAGGGGGGUAGAAUUCCAGGUGUAGCGGUGAAAUGCGUAGAGAUCUGGAGGAAUACCGGUGGCGAAGGCGGCCCCCUGGACAAAGACUGACGCUCAGGUGCGAAAGCGUGGGGAGCAAACAGGAUUAGAUACCCUGGUAGUCCACGCCGUAAACGAUGUCUACUUGGAGGUUGUGCCCUUGAGGCGUGGCUUCCGGAGCUAACGCGUUAAGUAGACCGCCUGGGGAGUACGGCCGCAAGGUUAAAACUCAAAUGAAUUGACGGGGGCCCGCACAAGCGGUGGAGCAUGUGGUUUAAUUCGAUGCAACGCGAAGAACCUUACCUGGUCUUGACAUCCACAGAAGAAUCCAGAGAUGGAUUUGUGCCUUCGGGAACUGUGAGACAGGUGCUGCAUGGCUGUCGUCAGCUCGUGUUGUGAAAUGUUGGGUUAAGUCCCGCAACGAGCGCAACCCUUAUCCUUUGUUGCCAGCGGUUAGGCCGGGAACUCAAAGGAGACUGCC